rnacentral:rRNA from 1 species
ACGAACGCUGGCGGCAGGCUUAACACAUGCAAGUCGAACGAAGGCUUCGGCCUUAGUGGCGCACGGGUGAGUAACACGUGGGAAUAUACCUCUCAGUGGGGGAUAACGUCGGGAAACUGACGCUAAUACCGCAUACGCCCUUCGGGGGAAAGAUUUAUCGCUGAGAGAUUAGCCCACGUCCGAUUAGCUAGUUGGUAAGGUAAUGGCUUACCAAGGCUACGAUCGGUAGCUGGUCUGAGAGGAUGAUCAGCCACACUGGGACUGAGACACGGCCCAGACUCCUACGGGAGGCAGCAGUGGGGAAUCUUGCGCAAUGGGCGAAAGCCUGACGCAGCCAUGCCGCGUGAAUGAUGAAGGUCUUAGGAUUGUAAAAUUCUUUCACCGGGGAAGAUAAUGACGGUACCCGGAGAAGAAGCCCCGGCUAACUUCGU